GGUGGCGAAAGGACUUGUUCGUGUGUCGUGUGACACCUGAUGUGUGAGCGGCGUCGGCGGCUCCUGCGAGCAGUUAAAGUCUUUUGGAUGUGUUCAAACGGAUGCCGACAAGUUUUAGAUGAGUUUUGCAUUUUUACCGCACUUUGAUUA
ensembl:ncRNA C47G2.16 ncRNA